AUAUCAAUAAGCGGAGGAAAAGAAACCAACAGGGAUUGCCUCAGUAACGGCGAGUGAAGCGGCAACAGCUCAAAUUUGAAAUCUGGCCUUUGGUGCCGAGUCGUAAUUUGUAGAGGAUGCUUCGGGCGUGGUGUGGUCUAAGUGUCCUUGGAACAGGCCGUCAUAGAGGGUGAGAAUGCCCGUAUGCGACUGGGUGCCUAAGCUCAUGUGAAGCUCCUUCGACUAGACGAGUUGUGUGGGAAUGCAGCUCAAAAUGGGUGGUAAAUUUCAUCUAAAGCUAAGUAUUGUACAGAGACCGAUAGCAGCACAAGUAGAGUGAUCGAAAGAUGAAAAGCACUUUGGAAAGAGAGUCAAAUAGCACGUGAAAUUGUUGAAAGGGAGAGCGCUGACAAUCAGACUUGCACGCAGUUGAUCAUCUGGUGUUCUCUCUGGUGCACGUCGCCUGUGUUCAGGCCAGCCUCAGCUUCUGGUGGUUGGAUAAAGGCCAGAGGAAUGUGAGCUUCCUUCGAGGACUGUUAUAGCCUCUGGUGCAAUGCAUCCUACUGGGACUGAGGGCCUCGCUUCGGCUAGGAUGCUGGCGUAAUGGUCGUAAGCGG
rnacentral:rRNA from 1 species